GACGAACGCUGGCGGCGUGCUUAACACAUGCAAGUCGAACGGAAAGGCUCUGCUUUUGUGGGGUGCUCGAGUGGCGAACGGGCGAGUAACACGUGAGUAACCUGCCCUUGACUUUGGGAUAACUUCAGGAAACUGGGGCUAAUACCGGAUAGGAGCUCCUGCUGCAUGGUGGGGGUUGGAAAGUUUCGGCGGAUGGGGUUGUACUCGCGGCUAAUCAGCUUGUUGGUGGGGUAGUGGCUUACCAAGGCUUUGACGGGUAGCCGGCCUGAGAGGGUGACCGGCCACAUUGGGACUGAGAUACGGCCCAGACUCCUACGGGAGGCAGCAGUGGAGAAUAUUGCACAAUGGGCGGAAGCCUGAUGCAGCAACGCCGCGUGCGGGAUGACGGCCUUCGGGUUGUAAACCGCUUUCGCCUGUGACGAAGCGUGAGUGACGGUAAUGGGUAAAGAAGCACCGGCUAACUACGUG
rnacentral:rRNA from 1 species